AGUAAAGAGAGAAGGAGGUGGCACAGCUAGAAAUUCAGGAAAUGGUGUAUGGUGAGGAGCUUCCCGUUGGCAUCCUGUUUCCUUCAUUCUGCAAGAGCUGUCCAGGCGCGUUGUCAGAAGAAAGGGAUCCCCUGAAAUGCUGGGCACACUGACUAGCCUCUUGUAUAGAGUCUCAAGCCUGUGGCCAGAAGCAGCUGUGUGAAGUAGCCGCUGUGAUGGAUUGGGACCACAGAUACCACUUUGGAAGGAAAGGUUCCAGAAACCAAAGCUUGGGCCAUGGGUCUCUGGGAAACUGCAGCAGGAGUUUAGAGUCUAAUGGAUGGAACACAGAAGCAGGAAAAAAAUUGCUGUAGAAUAUGAUAAAGAUUAAUAGAGGCUUUGGGAAAGGCCUGUUUCCUGGCACUAAAAGUAGCCAGUCUUGGCGUGAACAGCCCUUGACAAUUCCCAGCAUAUGGUAAGAGAAGACGCUUCUGCCCACCCAUCAGGCAUGGAAAGGAGCAAUAAUACACGCAACACUGAACAGGACCAUGCCCUCUUCUAAAUGACAUUAUGGACUUCCCGACACUUGAAAAUGGGUUGAUAGGGAGGAUCAUUAACCAUCAGAGAAAUUGCUAACUGCCCUGGAACACAGCACAUUCUUGGGUGAAAAGUCACUUGAAUGCCUGUUGGAGCCAUCACUAUGGAUUGCCGGCUAUUCUGACUUGGAGUUUGAGGCUGACAUCUGAAACCACAGGGAAAUACCAAUUAUUUUGAUGGAAAUUAUUUGAAGGCAUUGGAAUACAAAUCUGUGUGAAGUGAGUUAAAUCUCCGCAAGGCCAAGAUACACUGUGUUUAAUUACACCUUCAUGGAAACUCAAUUAUAUCCUUCUUGCUGAUAGAAAACUGAAUUCCUUAAAAAUUAAAUGAAUUAAAAUUUGUGUAUGACAGGACUAUUAUACCCAUAACAGUUCCACUGCAAGUACAUGAGACUGUCAUGGCAAUAACUGAAAAACUAAAGGAGAUGUCUAUGUAGACAGCUGCUCAUUUACUGCCUGAGGCUCAGAAUCAAUCAUAACUCCAGGUGAACUGAAUCCCUCAGAGCACCAAGGGAAACCUGAGAAGCAUUCCAGGAGACCUCCGUUUGACUGGCUUUUCGGAUAUAUAUAACACAGGCUGAAGUGUGCUGUCAAAACUCAUCAUUUAAGUAUUGUAAACUCCAUUAAAAUAUUCCUUUAAAAGAGAAAGAGCUGCAGACUUGAUACAGGAAGGAUCUCUUCCAUGAUUCUGGGAUUUGGAGCUCAGGUGGUACAACGGUGAUGAAGAUGGAGAUGUGGACGUGGCCAGUGUAAACAUGGUGACUUAGCAGGGAGGACUGAUGAGUGAGGAGAGAGCAGAUGUAAUUGAAAGAGGAGAGGACUAGCCUCAGUACCCUGUGAAACAUUAGCAUUGACUACUGGGCAGGGAAGGAAGAAGCCUCGAAGGGACCUCAGAGGAGUGGUCUCUAUCCCACAGGAGUGUAUACUUUCUUUCCAGUUCUCUUUGGAUCUUUGACAAAGGAAAAUAAAAUCUAUUGUUAAGCAUUAACCAUCUCUCAAGAUAUGUUUUCCAAAAUUGUGUCUUUCCUUUAAAAUAUUCCCCAAUGCCUUCUAUUUAUUUUUUUGGGAAUUUUCUGUGAAUACUUGACCAACAUUUAUUGAGCACCUACUGUAUAGGCCCUAUCACAAGUAACAGUCACUUACACUUGCAUUAUCUCAUAUAAUGUUCACUGUCAAUGUAGAUGGGAAAUUGAUGCCCACACUGACAACGGUCCUGGAUCACAUAGCAGUAGGAAGACAGGGCCAGAAUUUGAACCUGUAUUUUCUGAAUCCUGUGAUCUUUCCACGAUGGUUGGUUGGUAUGGCUAUUUGAUACAUAUAUUGGUCAUAAAAUAUAUGUUCUUAUAUCCUUCUCAAAAGUUUAAGAUUGAUGGCUUGUGCAACCAGUCAUGUUACUACACAGUGAUACUUGAGAGUAUUGUAAAAGGCAUCAAAUAUCUAACCCUCCCAACAGAUGUCUCUCUGGCUUAUGCAGAACCUGUAUGACAAGGGACCAGAGAUAUGUGUUGGGUGAUUAUCCUCUGAACUCAGUCUCUACAAAUUUCAGUGUUUAGA
rnacentral:lncRNA from 10 species